CGAACGGCUCCGUAUAUCUGUUGUCACCAAUAGCCCCCCAUAAAGACCAGUCAUAGCGGAUAUGGCUCGGUAAUUCUGUCAGUAAUACGUGUACGUGCAUACCCCGUGCUUAACCGUGGUGGGCCCGGAGAAAUCCGCGAAGGCAGAGCCGCAAGGCUUCGCCCGUGCUACCCGGCCACAAAGCAAGCGGGUCUUCCGAUUCAAUCACGCGCCCGGGCAUCAAGGCCUGGGGCAGGAAGGCACGGAAGGGAACCUCACCACCUCCGGGUGGCAGAGGCUAUGGGCUUCAGACCUAUCAACUUGAGGGCUGGGUGAUGUCCAGCCCUGGUGAUAACGGGUACAGAGGAUCAGGGUUCGAUCCUGGAGAGGUAGCCUGAGAGAUCGCUACUACUUCUAAGGAAGGCAGCAGGCGCGCAACGUUCCCAAUGGGGAGUAGCCCUCCCUGAGGACGUGAAGGGACAUAACAAUGCCCGGCCUUUAAAGGCGGGGUAAUUGUAAUGGGGAAAUUUUAAACCACCCACCGAGUAACAAUUGGAGGACAAGUCUG
rnacentral:rRNA from 1 species